UAAAAAUGCUUGUAGCCUGGAUGGAAUAGAAGGAAAAUGGAGAUUUUCUGAUUUGUUUUUGCUGUCUUAUUGCCUCCUUAUCAUGUUAUUCUGCUAUGCUUCCCUGCAUGGAGCCAGCCAGUUUUGAAACCUCAUGAACACUGAGCUACGAUCACUUGGUCCAUGAUGCUGUGUAUGCCUUAGCCAGUCUGGGAAAAAUGGAAGUGAAGCACCAAGAUUUGAUAGCUGCUGUGCACAGUCUGAAGAAAGCUUUUCUUGUGGGGAGUGGCUGAAGCUGAGGAUUGGUCACACAUGUGAGCCUACAGCAAGGCCCGUCCCAAGAACAUGAGGUACCCAAGGUGAGCUAGGUGAACACGUUGUUAGGCAGAGGGGUUUCACCUGACAUCAACCUGCUGCGUGUAUAAAUAAAUGCACUGCAGUCAUUGGGUUGUUCUUUUCUCCACUGAGAGAGGACUCCACCUGACCUCAGCUUUCUGUAUUUCACUCUUGCCUUCACUUUUUCAUGGCCCUUCACCUGGGAAUUUUUGAGAACUGUGCUGGAUGCAGCAUUUUGACACCUGAACAGGGACCCAGGGUACAGGGAGACUUGUCCUGCAGCAGGUAAGAGAGUACAUUUAGUUCUGUGCACAAAAUGGAGAAAGGUGCAUUGAUAUCAAUAUUGGUCCCAUCAAUAUCAUCAAUAUUGAUCCCAUCAUCAGGUGUAAAACAUGGGGCAAACAGGUUCUCAAGAACCACCGAUGUAUAUAGAAAUGGUUACUGUACUAUU